rnacentral:lncRNA from 1 species
UUGUGCCAUAAAUGGGUGUUCUUUCUAGUUUUCAUUAUUUUUUUUAGUUUUUCAUUUAUUAUAUUUUUUUACAUGUAUUUAUAUUUGUAUUUGUAUUGUACUUCUGAAUGUAUUAUAUUUAGGGUUAAACUUCAAAAUACAUGACAUUUUGAGUUGAUUCAAUUUGUAUAAACCACUAUCAUUAUUAUUGAUAGAACACCAUUUUGUGUUUACAUAUUACACACAAACAAUUAUAC